CCUACGGGAGGCAGCAGUGAGGACUAUUGGUCAAUGGCCGGAAGGCUGAACCAGCCAAGCCGCGUGAAGGACGAAGGUGCCAAGCAUUGUAAACUUCUUUUGUCAAGGGACAAAAUCAGGCUCGAGAGCCUGACCGCGGGUACUUGAAGAAAAAGCAUCGGCUAACUCCGUGCCAGCAGCCGCGGUAAUACGAUGGAUGCGAGCGUUAUCCGGAUUUAUUGGGUUUAAAGGGUGCGUAGGCGGACUGUUAAGUCAGCGGUAAAAGCCCGGGGCUCAACCCCGGCGAGCCGUGGAAACUUGGUGUCUUGAGAUGUCGAGAGGUAUGCGGAAUGCGCAGUGUAGCGGUGAAAUGCGUAGAUAUUGCGCAGAACUCCGGUUGCGAAGGCAGCAUACCGGCGGCGAUCUGACGCUGAGGCACGAAAGCGUGGGUAUCGAACAGGAUUAGAUACCCUUGUAGUC
rnacentral:rRNA from 1 species